rnacentral:rRNA from 1 species
UGCAUCGAUGAAGAACGCAGCGAAAUGCGAUAAGUAAUGUGAAUUGCAGAAUUCAGUGAAUCAUCGAAUCUUUGAACGCACAUUGCGCCCAUUAGUAUUCUAGUGGGCAUGCCUGUUCGAGCGUCAUUUCAACCCCUAAGCACAGCUUAUUGUUGGGCGUCUACGUCUGUAGUGCCUCAAAGACAUUGGCGGAGCGGCAGCAGUCCUCUGAGCGUAGUAAUUCUUUAUCUCGCUUCUGUUAGGCGCUGCCCCCCCGGCCGUAAAACCCCCAAUUUUUUCUGGUUGACCUCGGAUCAGGUAGGAAUACCCGCUGAACUUAAGCAUAUCAAUAAGCGGAGGA